UGCAGGUAGUGACCCCAGGAACACUGCUGGGGCAGGGGCAGAGAGUCAGGGACCUGAGAAGGUGACCGGGGGCCUUCCUGAGCAGGGAAUGGUAGUCUUGCUGAGGAUCCCUGGGAGACAGCACAGGCUUCUUGUCACAGCAGCUGAAGGGUGGGAGAACUGGCAUCUUUAUUCCUGAAGCUCUAUUGGUCACCAGUUGAUGGCUGCUCCCAGGGACAUCACCCCCUUGGCACCUGGCCCAUGGACACCCCAGGUGUCCUGCACCUGCUCUUAGGAUGCCACUCACCACUAACCAGGCACAGGGUAAGGAAACAGGAUGGAAAGAGAAAUUCAAGCUGCUAGACGCCGUGUCGAAGCUCAAAGGUCAAGGCCUGCGAGUGAAGUAGAAGUCAAGGAGCCAUCUCUGCUUCUUAUGUGCUCUGAAACUUGGGGCAAGUCUAAGCCUUCAUUUCUUAAAUAAAA
rnacentral:lncRNA from 10 species